GACGAACGCUGGCGGCGUGCUUAACACAUGCAAGUCGAACGGAAAGGCCCUGCUUUUGUGGGGUGCUCGAGUGGCGAACGGGUGAGUAACACGUGAGUAACCUGCCCUUGACUUUGGGAUAACUUCAGGAAACUGGGGCUAAUACCGGAUAGGAGCUCCUGCUGCAUGGUGGGGGUUGGAAAGUUUCGGCGGUUGGGGAUGGACUCGCGGCUUAUCAGCUUGUUGGUGGGGUAGUGGCUUACCAAGGCUUUGACGGGUAGCCGGCCUGAGAGGGUGACCGGCCACAUUGGGACUGAGAUACGGCCCAGACUCCUACGGGAGGCAGCAGUGGGGAAUAUUGCACAAUGGGCGGAAGCCUGAUGCAGCAACGCCGCGUGCGGGAUGACGGCCUUCGGGUUGUAAACCGCUUUCGCCUGUGACGAAGCGUGAGUGACGGUAAUGGGUAAAGAAGCACCGGCUAACUACGUGCCGGCAGCCGCGGUGAUACGUAGGGUGCGAGCGUUGUCCGGAUUUAUUGGGCGUAAAGGGCUCGUAGGUGGUUGAUCGCGUCGGAAGUGUAAUCUUGGGGCUUAACCCUGAGCGUGCUUUCGAUACGGGUUGACUUGAGGAAGGUAGGGGAGAAUGGAAUUCCUGGUGGAGCGGUGGAAUGCGCAGAUAUCAGGAGGAACACCAGUGGCGAAGGCGGUUCUCUGGGCCUUUCCUGACGCUGAGGAGCGAAAGCGUGGGGAGCGAACAGGCUUAGAUACCCUGGUAGUCCACGCUGUAAACGGUGGGUACUAGGUGUGGGGUCCAUUCCACGGGUUCCGUGCCGUAGCUAACGCUUUAAGUACCCCGCCUGGGGAGUACGGCCGCAAGGCUAAAACUCAAAGGAAUUGACGGGGCCCCGCACAAGCGGCGGAGCAUGCGGAUUAAUUCGAUGCAACGCGUAGAACCUUACCUGGGUUUGACAUGGAUCGGGAGUGCUCAGAGAUGGGUGUGCCUCUUUUGGGGUCGGUUCACAGGUGGAGCAUGCCUGUCGUCAGCUCGUGUCGUGAGAUGUUGGGUUAAGUCCCGCAACGAGCGCAACCCUUGUUCACUGUUGCCAGCACGUUAUGGUGGGGACUCAGUGGAGACCGCCGGGGUCAACUCGGAGGAAGGUGGGGAUGACGUCAAGUCAUCAUGCCCCUUAUGUCCAGGGCUUCACGCAUGCUACAAUGGCUGGUACAGAGAGUGGCGAGCCUGUGAGGGUGAGCGAAUCUCGGAAAGCCGGUCUCAGUUCGGAUUGGGGUCUGCAACUCGACCUCAUGAAGUCGGAGUCGCUAGUAAUCGCAGAUCAGCAACGCUGCGGUGAAUACGUUCCCGGG
rnacentral:rRNA from 1 species